GAUGAUGAAGAACCAUCAGGAGAUGCUCCUAAGGAUGUGUAUGGUCUCAUGCUGUCACUUAGUUGCCUACAUGAAGGUGCUGUGGUGCACAGACAGUGGUUUGUCCACUAACAUGCAGAUCAGCAUGAGGAACAUCCUGUUUUUGGCUCCACCGUUGUUUUUCCACCACAGUUCUUGGCGUCACGAACAGGAUCCUGCUGCAGGUCGUCUGGACGGCGGUCCUGACGACUAGGUUCGCUCAGCCUCCAAACCUCUACAGCUUUCUGAGUAGGAAGUCUGCCCACACGUCUGGAUCGCCUCUGACUUGGCUCGGUGAGAGAGAUUCAGUUUUUUUUGCGACUUGUUGGAAGCAAAAAAAGGGUGGGUUGAUAUUUGGUUCCAGGUAUUAAGGUUUCCAAGGUUCUGAUCAUUUGGUUUAGGGAAAGAGAGGUAAAAAUAAUAAUUCUAAAACAUCUACUAUUUCGCUGAAACUUUCCAAAAUUUAAUAAUUAGGAACAACAAUCAAUAUAAUUACUUAAUUAGGUCAAGUCUGCUCAGGGUUGGCUCUUGGAACCGAGCUUUUGUCUGUACUGGGGGGGUAACAAACAAGUGUGCAGAUCUGAGCGCAGUCCACACAGAGUCUGGGGGACAAGAAAAAAGACGGCUUCCGAAAGAGGGAGUGCUUACGCAGAAGGAAGUUUUCUCGAGAUACGAGGGAUCCGGGUCUUAGAGGGGCCUGACGGUGAGGGAUUACUUCUGGGAAGAGAGCUCGGGGCAAUCUAAGUCUCCACCACUGGACAGCAGCCUUACGAAAUUAAUGAGACGUAAAUAUGGUAAUGAGUGCGUGUCAUGUCUUCACAACUGGACAAAAGAUUAUGGGUUUCGAGAAGGGGGAUCACUCAGUGUGAAGGACAUACGCGAUUUAAAAGAGAAAUUGGAAGAAAAGGAGUGACAGCUCUGUACGAGCAAAGUUAAAACCUUAGAGGAAAUUGAAUUAAUCCAAAUCUCAGGGCAUCUGUUGUUUAAAGAAUGAGAACGCAGGGAAAGACUGAAAUGCCAAAAAGUUAGGAGGGAUUAAGGAUAGGAGUGGCGACGAAGAAAGACUCUGUGGAAGCUUGCACACCACCACCAUACACACAUACACACACACACACACUGAGUGGACGGUUUGCGUACACUAUAGGUUAGUCUGGCCAGACAAUAAAAGAAAAACUUACUGUUCCUCUGUCUUGCUCAACAUCAGAUGGCAAGACACUCAAACAUUUAUUUCUGCUUUCAAACAUAUGCCCAGUUAGAGAUGCAUCUGACCUGUCUUGUACAGUGCAGCACAUGUGUCCACUGGUCCUGAUGAGAACUUUGAAAAAUCGUGGUUACGCACACACACUGACAAAUUGACCUCAAUCUCUCUCUUUUGCGCUUGCAAUUUCUUUCACUAAUGAACAAGAGAGAUUUGUUGAUGCUUAUUCCGCAGAUCCACAUGUCCUCCUGUCAAAGCAUGACGGAGACAGAUAGCAGGACUUGGGUCCUUUCGUGGACAGAUGUCAACGGGAAGGAGACUGGCAAGCGACUUCCGACAUAAAUGUGAUGUAUUGACCUACCUUGCAUGCUUACAAGAAACUUUUUCAGUCCAACUUUCAUGCGCAGCGCACAGUGCACUCGGUACCUCAACAUUCCACACCACGUGUUUUUGUUGGAGGACGCGCUGACACAGUAUCCAGCCUUACCGGAAGUUCCUGCUUCCCUGUGGGCCACACACAAAUACAGUAUGAUGUAGGUUUAAUCAAAGGGUGCGACCCAGUGGUCAUCACACCUAAAUCUGACCACAAACCAUGUAAAUAUACCCUUUAAAGAGAGAGUUUAACUCUCUUUUGAAAGCAGGAGUCAUCGUCCCAUGUGCAACUCUCCCGUGAGGACCCCACUUUUCCCGGAAGAAAAUCAAGACAAGGGACAGCCAUCAGAAUGGAGGUUUGUCCAGGAUCUGCAAGCAGUAAAUGCGGCGGUCCAACUACGCGCGCCUACGGUACCGAACCCCUACACCAUUCUUUCUCAGAUUCUGCCUAUGGCAAAAAGUCUUUUUAGUUGUCGAUUUGGCCAAUGCUUUUUCAGCCUGCUCGUCCACAAAGACAGUCAAUUCUGAUUUGCUUUUGAAUUUAACGGAAAGUCUUUACCAGACUCUGUCAGGGGUAUUCAGAAAGCCCUACAAUCUACAAUAUGGCAUUAAAGACAGCGUGGAUGAUCUUGUUUUGUCCCCAGGCACCGCCCUACUGCAGUACGUUGAAUUGAUGAUCUGCAGUGAGAAUCAGGAAACUUGCACAGCAGACACGAUCAAGCUGCUGAAAUACCUGCACGCUGCAGGCCACAAAGCGAGCCAGUCCAAAUUAGUUUGUUCAGACUAAGGUCACCUUCCUAGGUCCCAUCAUUACCGCUGAAGGGAAAUCCAUUUUACCUGAAGGAGCUGAAGCUAUUCAGAACCUGCCUAAACCGUGCACAUACAAACAGCUUAUGUCCUUUCUAGGCAUGUGCUCUUAUUGCAGGAAUUUAAUUCCUAACUGCGCCGUCUUGGAGGCUCCACUCAGAGCUCUGAUGCAGACAUCCUCUUCGUCCACCUCUCGCCUCAUGUGGACAUCUGAGACUAAACAGGCAUUCAUCGACUUCAAACCUGCUCUUCAGUCUGCUCCUACAUUGGGUCUGCCUGACCCUACGCGACCUUUUACCAAACAGUGGAUGAGGCCCACGGUGCCUCCAAGCAGAGGUGUCACUUCCUAACUGUGACCUCGUUCUCUUUGUUGAUGGCUCCAUCUCUAGAGACCCUGCUUCGCACCAAUGUCAGGUUGGGUAUGCAGUCUGCACUCCUCAUGUCGUCUUGAAGUCUGGCUACUCUGCUCAGGCUGCAGAGUUGAUCGCAUUGACUGAAGCUAGUAAUUAGCAAAAGAAGAGUCUGUUACCAUCUACACAGACUCCACAGAUGCUUUUGGCGUUACACUUUGGUGAUCUGUGGAAGCAUUGGAAGCUUUUGAAGUCUAAUUGCAAACCUAUCUUACAUCAUGAUUAGGUUGCUGCUUUUCUGGACGUUGCCACCCACAGCUAAUGCUGUUUGUAACUGUCUGACUCACACCAUCAGUGACCACUUUUUUUCUCCUGCAAUGGUCACUGCCCGGCAAUCCCCUCCCUCUCCCCAUCCUUGUUCCCUCUCCUGAUCCUCCUUUCCUCGCUAACUCUCUCUACCCUCUCCUGCCUCAUUUCUCCCUGUGCUUUAAACGUUCUUUACCUCACAGGAAUGCAGACUCUGGCAGACGAAUGGUUCCUCCUGUAGCCAUGGAGUCUGGUUUGGGCCUGAUGGGCAGCUACGCCGCCCAAACACUUUUUUUCCCCACAAUUCAGAUUUUCCAACAGGUGAAAACAGGCGACAGGACCAUUACACCAUCCAACCAGGGGACUGAGCGAUCGUUAAGGAGUUCAGGAGGAAGCAUUGGGACUCCAAAUGGUGGCAAGGCUCCUUCCAGGUCCUUCUGAUGAUCCACAUGGCUGUGAAGAUCACAGAGAGAGCGACUUGGAUUCACUCCAUCCACUGCAGGAAGGUCCCGGAUCCGACAGACGACCCUCCAUCUACACCACAUGGAGAAUUCUCCACUAACGAAAAGAACUGAGAAGAACGACCCCCCCUUGCUCACACACACGCACUGAGGCGAGGCUGCGUUGACCGUUCAGCUAAAGGUGUGAGCCAAGCGCCGCCUGAAGCUGCACCGGUGAAUCACACUAUCAGACCAUACAUCUACACACACGUUCCUGAGAAAACACACACACGAGCAGCCUUGAGUUGUCAACGCUGGACGACGUGUAGACUCUUCUCAUCAAGAGAGUGACAGUGACACAGGCGACAUUGGGAGGAAACCUGGCGGUGAUAACAAAUCCCAAUUGUCUCUGUGAUCAGCUGAUCACAACCUGAAGAACUCCUUCAAACUGUCAAUGCAUCUACACACAGAUGAAAGACAACACAAGCGGAAAUCAGUUAUCCCACUGGUUAGAGGUCAUGCGUGCGACCUCAGUAACACACUUGUAUUAAAUGACACAAUGCACUAUGUUCAGAAACCCCGACUCUAUUUCACGUAAUGACUUUGUUGAUGAUCUUAGGCUAUCUGAUCACAAAAUAUAAUCUGAUACAAAUAUGAUUAUUGGCUUAUUUUCUUCACAUGCUCAUACACAGGUUAUUCUUGUAUAACUACCCACCAAAACAGCUCCCAACCUUUUAUCCCUAAGUUACUUGUAUUUUAUGUAAAGGUGUAUUUGUGAAUCUUGAUGAGGUAAUACACUCACUGUUUCAUUUGUAAGGGCCGUUAUUACAAAAUGCAAUGUUUGACAAUUUUUAUUAUUUUAGUGUUUGAUUAAUGUGUAAUCAAAAGGGGGGAGUGUUAUGGGAAAAUUUUUUCUUCCUUCUAUGCAGUUAAUAUCUAAAUUUAUGUAAUGUAAUUUGAUAUAUCGAUAUAUAUAGAUUUUGGUUUGUUGAUGUGCAGGAUCAACAUCCAUGCUUUUUAUUUGCUUUCCCCAUUAUUUUAAGUUUCCUUUAUUUUUAUAAUAAAUCUCACAAAAGACAACUUUCUCAUCUGCCUCUUUAUGGGAAAUUUCCACCACAGUCAAAUAUUGAAAGCAAGUGAAAAUUGUUUUUUUGUUUUUUUCAAAACUAGACAUGGGUUGAUUUCAGUCAAUACAGUUCCUGUCAUUGUUUCACUUUUAAUGGGGAAUUGGCAAUAGAAGUAAGCAGUGUUCACGUUUUAUUGAAAUGUUCCUUUCAUGAAGGAUCAUAUGCUGCUAUACAGAAAAAAUACACAUUGGGCUCAGUACAAUUAACCAACGACUUGCGUCUUAGCAUCAACAUUAACAUAUCUAAAGCACAGUGACCGUGCACCUAUGCAUUCACAUUACUUUGGUGUCAUAUUGCAAUGGUGACGUGGUGUAAUUACCAAAAUAAAACAGUAAAUGGAUAAUACAGACUUGUGAUAUGACAGUAGUGAAGUAAAGAAGUUGAUAUGGA